rnacentral:rRNA from 1 species
ACGGUAAUAAGACCGAAGAUCCGAUCACCGAAAUUAAGCAAUGUUGGGCCCGGUCAGUACUUGGGAGGGUGACCACCGAGUGCUCUAGGUU